GUGGGAAUAAUAGUGAAGAAGAUGGUAACAGUACCUAUUUUUUUUGGAACACAUAUUUUAUGGGAAGACACAGUACCCAUCCCCCAAAAAAAGACAAAUAAAUAUAUGCAUAAAAUGACUUUACAUGGAAUUUUGUUACAAAAAGACCAAAGAAGACACUAAGAUGAAGAAUGAGAAUGGGGGAACAUAAUCUAGGUCACUUUUGCUCCUUGUGGAGAGUGGAUUGAAGAGGAGCAUUGAACUGACGAGACCCAGUGAAAAUUCUGUUCCAAUAAUGUGGAUGUAUGAUCAUGAUGAUUUAAUAAACGUGAAGCAAAGAGGUCAAAGCCAAGAAAUCACUGGAGUUAAAACCACCAGGGAUGCUACCAAAUUGGAUGUAGGGUGAGGAAAAAUGGAGUUUCGCUCUUGUUGCCCAGGCUGGAGUGCAAUG
rnacentral:lncRNA from 1 species